CCCUAGCUCUCUCUCUUCUUGGAGUCAAUUUGAUGGAGUAGCUUUUCAUUUCUUGGACACUCAGCAACAGCCUCUCCCACGCGCUCAUGCACAUGCACGCUCGUGCACGUUUACUCUCCUAGCGUCUAGUGUGAGUGUGUGAAAGAGACCCUUCCUAUAGCUGCUGAUAUCCUGGAUUUUUAAGAUCGUUCAUUUUGAGUGUCCCCACCUUCGGGCUGUGAGGAGGACGGCCACCCCCGCAGCUACGGGUCCAGAAUCUCCAUCCUCAGCCGCAGAGAGAAGAGCAGCUGGAAGAGGAGGAAGAGGGAGGAAGAGAAGGAGAGAGAGAGCUGGGCCCAGAGCGCUCCAGCACUGGCAGCGGGGGGAAGAAGCGUGCUUCUUUGGGGCUUAACGAAGGUGCAAGCAUGCGCUGCUCCACCUCCUGUGUAUCCUGACGGGGGUGCUGCUCUACUAGUGCUGGGGCCGUGGUGUUCCAGGCCCUGGAGGCUCCCAUGAGGAGGGCCAGCACAUACAGCUGCAGGACACACAAAGGCCUUCCUGGAGAACUACACCUGCAUCAGCCCAG